rnacentral:rRNA from 1 species
AGAAUCAACGCUGGCGGCGUGCCUAACACAUGCAAGUCGAACGAGAAAGUGGAGCAAUCCAUGAGUAAAGUGGCGACCGGGUGAGUAACACGUGACUAACCUACCUUCGAGUGGGGGAUAACCUCGGGAAACCGAGGCUAAUACCGCAUAACAUCGUGAGAUCAAAGCAGUAAUGCGCUGGAAGAGGGGGUCGCGGCUGAUUAGCUAGUUGGCGGGGCAAUGGCCCACCAAGGCGAAGAUCGGUA